GAUUCUGGCUCAGGAUGAACGCUGGCGGCGUGCCUAACACAUGCAAGUCGAGCGAUUACUUCGGUAAAGAGCGGCGGACGGGUGAGUAACGCGUGGGUAACCUGCCUCAUACACAUGGAUAACAUACCGAAAGGUAUGCUAAUACAGGAUAAUAUAAGAGAUUCACAUGGAUUUUUUAUCAAAGCUCCGGCGGUAUGAGAUGGACCCGCGUCUGAUUAGCUAGUUGGUAAGGUAAUGGCUUACCAAGGCGACGAUCAGUAGCCGACCUGAGAGGGUGAUCGGCCACAUUGGAACUGAGACACGGUCCAAACUCCUACGGGAGGCAGCAGUGGGGAAUAUUGCACAAUGGGCGAAAGCCUGAUGCAGCAACGCCGCGUGAGUGAUGAAGGCCUUCGGGUCGUAAAACUCUGUCCUCAAGGAAGAUAAUGACGGUACUUGAGGAGGAAGCCCCGGCUAACUACGUGCCAGCCGCAGC
rnacentral:rRNA from 1 species